GCCGUUGGGACGGGGGCGGGCGCGCGGCGGCGGCGCGGCGCGAGGGCCACCCCCUCACACCCCGCGAGCGUCACCUGUGUGGCGGUGGGUGCUCUGGAGGGCGCACCCACCUCCCUGUGCCCCGGAGCGGGGUGUCCUGCGGUCCGGGGGUGCCCCGAGGGGUGCAGCCCCCCGCACACCCCACCACCGCGCGGGCCACAGUGGCGUCGCUCGCUCGGGGUUCACUCGCCCUGCUUUGCAUGCACCCACCCAAAAGCAACCCUUUCCCUGAGCUCUGCCUGCUGGGCUUCCUCCCUGGCCUUGCCCUCAGCACCUCUGUGCUAUGCUCCUUGCUCUGGAGUCCCCUGCACCGUUGUGGUUUUGCACAGCCUGCGUGUUUUUGCGUGGACUCCCCCGUCGGGGGCGGUUUGCAUGUGCUCCUCUUGGGGAAUGUGUGCAUGGCACACCCUUUUGUCCACACUCCCUAGUUGAGGGAGGGAAGGCUUGUGUGAACAUACCAAAACACACUACCAGACUCUUCAUGCAGCAAUAUGUUUUAUUGUACGAUAAUAUCUUCUGUUUUCCCCCAGAGUUUGGGUGUCGGUAUACGCAGCGCUCCCCAAUGUUACCUUUAGCCAAUAUACUGCAUCGUGCCAGUUUUGCAGCGUACUUUUUGCAUGAAGAUGCUCUUAAGUAGCAUACGCCUCCAGAGAUCAGUGUCUGCAUUCGCGCUGACAUUUCCCAGCUCUUCCUUGCUUUGUAAGAAGCCACUAAAGAUGAUGACGUCCACUGGUUUUGUACUGCCCACUUCUUCGGUUUCAGCAUAUAUAUCUAUACUGGCUCCACUCUCUGCCAAGAACGUGUUUCUAAACAAUGCCUGGGUUAAUGCCACAACAGAUGGCAGCGUGAUUUUCCCGUAAGAGUUAAUGUCUCUACCUGCGAGCCCGAAUGCCCAGCCUGAAUCUUUAACCGUGAGCAUCCUUGCUGCCUCUGUGAACGGUUACGUUUCCAUUGGCGUCUUCCUUGCUUGAAUCGAGGUCAGUCAGAGGUGAAGGGCAGAAAAACAGGCUAAUGUUUGGCUGUUUGGCCUCGCAGAUGAAGUGGCUGAGAUCUUUUAGAGCCCUGAUGGGCUCUGAAAUGCCAGCUGCUGAAAAGCCGGCGUUGUAUCCACUCAAACGAUCCCAGCCUCCAUGCCAUACAUGCUCUCCCGGUGUAUGUAUAGUGUGUGCAUCUCUUAAAUAAUAGAUGUCCUUUCCAGGACGUUAAUUCUUAACAGGAAAAAUUGCUUUGUCACCCGUUGCAUUCAGCUGCUUCAUUUGUGAGGCUGAUAACAGCAGAGCAGGGCACUGAAGGAUUGGCAGUGGGACUCCAAAACAGUGGUUAGAGCAGCGACAGGUAGCGGGGCUGUUGAUGCAUUUCGAUUACAGCUAUUAUGGGCAGGAAACAGUCUUUCAUCCUGUGUUUGUGUUUCACACACUGGCUUCCUGCUUCGUAACUGGAUCCGAAGUAUUAAAUAGUAAUAAGCCAUCAUGCCACUUAACAAAUAAAAACUGCUGAUUUUCCAAA